UACGUAGGGGGCAAGCGUUGUCCGGAAUCAUUGGGCGUAAAGCGCGCGUAGGCGGCCCGGUAAGUCCGUUGUGAAAGUCAAAGGCUCAACCUUUGAACGCCGAUGGAUACUGCCGGGCUAGAGUCCGGAAGAGGCGAGUGGAAUUCCUGGUGUAGCGGUGGAAUGCGCAGAUAGUCAGGAGGAACACCGGUGGCGAAGGCGGGUCUCGUGGGCAGUGAACUGACGCUGAGGAGCG
rnacentral:rRNA from 1 species